rfam:Solibacillus silvestris StLB046 DNA, complete genome.
UCCGAAGUAGCUCAGUUGGUAGAGCAUCCGGCUGUUAACCGGCAGGUCGCAGGUUCGAGUCCUGCCUUCGGAG